rnacentral:pre_miRNA from 1 species
AAAAAAAGCAAACCCUGGUUUUCGUGCUCAACGUUUGACCGUCUGUCUUAUUUGAAAAAAAUAUUAAAAAAAUUAAAAAGACAAGUCACGCAUAAAAUAUUAAUCAUGUUUUAUCAUCUACAACAAUAAAAAUACGAAUUAUAAAAAAAAUUUCAUAUAAGACGGACAGUCAAAGUUGGACACGGAAACUCAGGGUUUGCCUUUUU